rnacentral:lncRNA from 1 species
GGAUUUUAUGGUCUUUUAGUUGUAACCCUAGUUUUACUACCUCUAAACAUGCAUGUACUUUUGCUGCGAAAGUCGAACCUACGUUCUCAUGGAUGGUUGCUUUUGAGGCGAUCACUUUGCCCCUUCCAUCUUGAGCAACCACUCCCAAUCCUACUCUGAAGAAAUCCUUAUUAAAGUCGGCAUCAAAAUUGAUUUUUAUAUCCUCUCUAGAAGAAGGAACCAACGUUUCUUUGAUUAUCGCCUUGGUAAGUCAUUUAUCCUCUAAGCAGUCC